rnacentral:rRNA from 1 species
CAAUGCCGCGUGUGUGAAGAAGGCCUUCGGGGUUGUAAAGCACUUUUAGUGGGGAAGAAAGAGUCAAGACUAAUACUCUUGAUUGUUGACGUUACCCAAGAAAAAGCACCGGCUAACUCUGUGCCAGCAGCCGCGGUAAUACAGAGGGUGCAAGCGUUAAUCGGAAUUACUGGGCGUAAAGCGUGUGUAGGCUGAUAUUUAAGUCGGAUGUGAAAUCCCUGGGCUUAACCUAGGAACUGCAUUCGAGACUAGAUGUCUAGAGUAUGGUAGAGGAAAGUGGAAUUCCCGGUGUAGCAGUGAAAUGCGUAGAUAUCGGGAGGAACACCAGUGGCGAAGGCGACUUUCUGGACCAAUACUGACGCUGAGGCACGAAAGCGUGGGGAGCAAACAGGAUUAGAGACCCUGGUAGUCCACGCUGUAAACUAUGAGAACUAGGCGUUGGGGAGCUUGUCUCCUUAGUGCCGAAGCUAACGCGUUAAGUUCUCCGCCUGGGGAGUACGGCCGCAAGGUUA